GCACUGGUGGGUUCUUGGUCUCAUUGACUUCAAGAAUGAAGCCGUGGACCCUUGCGCUAUUUUACAUAAGGAAAGUGGGUGGUGAUUAACCUCAGAGUCUCCAGGGACAGACUAUCCAGGACUGUGCCUGAAAUAGAAGAGGAAUUAACAUCAUACAGAACUGAAUACGGUGACUGAGGGGAGUUUGUGUCUCCCCUUUUAGGAAAGAAGAUGAGAAUAAGUAUGAAGGAGAGUCAUGUACUGUACAUUAAGCAAAAGCAUGAUGCUGUUAUUUGAAAUGUUAAUUAGAGGUGCCCACUAAAAACUGCUCAGCAAUUUUCUUGGAGACCUCAGUGCUCAUGUUAUUCUUUCCUCUAUCUUAUGUUUUCCUCUCUCCUGCCCUUUUCAGAAACAGUCUACAGCAG
rnacentral:lncRNA from 1 species